rnacentral:rRNA from 1 species
AUGGCACUAGUAGGCUUUGUGGAUUGGAGGGGAAACGCCAUCAGGAAAGAGGUGCAUGGUGGAGUCAGAGCAGCAUGGUUCUUGUACGUUCUGACUGUGGUAACCAACGUGGUUAUUAUCCCAAACCUGCUGAAUCUGGUUACUUAUCUUCAUGGAACAAUGCAUAUGGGGGUCUCGGCCUCUGCAACUACAACCACUAAUUUUUUUGGUGCCACAUCCGGGUUUGCAAUGAUAGCAGCUUUCCUCUCCGACUCCUACAUUACUCGCUUUAGAACAAUGCUCCUCUUUGGUCCAUUUAUGUUUCUGGGUUACGGAUUGCUCGCACUGCAAGCCUACCUUCCUUCACUCCGUCCACCAGCUUGCAACAUUGAAGCAGAGCUAAACAGCUGUGAAGUGGUCCAUGGAUGGAAUGCUACCUUAUUGUACACAGCCUUGUAUAUGACUGCAUUUGGUGAUGGUUUUAUCCGUGUUUGCUUGCCAUCCCUCGGAGCAGACCAAUUUGACCAUGAAGAUCCCUCUGAGUCCCGCCAACAGUCCAGCUUCUUUAACUGGUAUACCUUUGGAAUCUCCUUUGGAGGUUUUGUAGGGCUGAUUCUCAUAGUGGGGAUCGAGAACUACAAAGGGUGGGAUAUCGGACUUGGGGUGUGUGCCAUCCUAAUUCUGCUAGGAUUGCUCAUAGUCGCUGCCGGUUUCCCCUUCUACUGCAACCAAGUACCACAAGGAAGUCCUCUAACUCGAAUACUGCAGGUUCUUGUGGUUGCAUUCAGGAACAGGAAACUUGAACUUCCUGAAAAACUUGAGGAAGCGAAGGAAAGCUGCACUGGGACAAGGGCAUGUUCUGUUGAUGCACUCGCUCAAACAAAUAGUCUGAAAUUCCUCGACAAAGCUUGCAUCAACAGUGGCCAAAGUGGAGCCUGGUCAGUUUGUAGUCUGAGAAAGGUGGAGGAGAUAAAGAUCAUCCUCCGUGUGCUUCCUCUCUUCGUCAGCUCCAUAAUCGGAUAUAUAUCGAACGUUAUCCUCUUCACAUUCACUGUGCAGCAAGGCACCAUGACGAACACAAGGCUGGGCAAGAUCCAUGUUUCCCCCGCGACACUCUUUAUCAUCCCCAUCAUAUUCCAGAUGCUAAUGCUUGCUGUCUAUGACCAGUUCCUUGUGCCAUUCUUGCGUAGACGUACAGGCUAUGUUGGUGGUGUCACUCAUUUGCAACGCAUUGGUAUAGGCUUCGUCACCAUGCUACUUGCGUCAAUCAUUGCAGCAAUUGUUGAGAAGAAGAGAAAGAAAGCUGUGGUGCAGAUGUCCCUCUUCUGGCUUGCACCUCAAUUCUUCCUUCUUGGUGUGGCAGAUGUGACAUCAUUCACCGGGCUCCUUGAGUUCUUCAACAGCGAGGCACCACGCGGCAUGAAGUCUAUUGCCACAGCGUUGUUCUGGUGUGCUCUGGGGCUCGCGUCCUUGCUGGCCACAACGCUGGUGGAAAUUGUGAACAAGGCCACAAGGCAUGGGCACCAGAGAGGCUGGCUCGAGGGUACAAGCUUGAACAACAGCCAUCUUGACCUGUUCUACUGGGCUGUGGCUGUUGUGGGAUUGCUUGGCUUAUGCAACUACCUGUACUGGGCCAAGAAGUUCAUCCUUGAUACUCCAUUUGUGAAAUUGUCAAAAGAAAUGGCUUUCUCCAUAACACUACCUAACGUGGAUUGUUCAUGUCAAAAUAAUAUCCAAGGGCAAAUAGCUUACUUCUCCGAACAGUGA